UACGUAGGGGGCGAGCGUUGUCCGGAUUCAUUGGGCGUAAAGCGCGCGUAGGCGGCUUCGUAAGUCGGCCGUGAAAUCUCCAGGCUUAACUUGGAGGGGUCGGGCGAGACUGCGGAGCUCGAGGUGGGCAGAGGGCAGUGGAAUUCCGGGUGUAGUGGUGGAAUGCGUAGAGGAUCCGGAGGAACACCAGUGGCGAAGGCGGCUCACUGGCCCGGUACUGACGCUGAGGUGCGAAAGCGUGGGGAGCAAACAGGG
rnacentral:rRNA from 1 species